rnacentral:rRNA from 1 species
GUGUCAGCAGCCGCGGUAAUACAUAGGGUGCAAGCGUUGUCCGGAAUUAUUGGGCGUAAAGAGCUCGUAGGUGGUUCGAUACGUCGGAUGUGAAAAUCAGGGGCUCAACCCCUUACCUGCAUCCGAUACGGUCGAGCUAGAGUUUGGUAGGGGAGACUGGAAUUCCUGGUGUAGCGGUGGAAUGCGCAGAUAUCAGGAGGAACACCGAUGGCGAAGGCAGGUCUCUGGGCCAAUACUGACACUGAGGAGCGAAAGCGUGGGGAGCGAACAGGAUUAGAUACCCCCGUAGUCC